rnacentral:rRNA from 1 species
CCUACGGGUUGCUGCAGUGGGGGAUAUUGCACAAUGGGGGGAACCCUGAUGCAGCGACGCCGCGUGGGUGAAGGAGCGCCUCGGCGCGUAAAGCCCUGUCAGCAGGGAAGAAAAUGACGGUACCUGCAGAAGACGCCCCGGCUAACUACGUGCCAGCAGCCGCGGUAAUACGUAGGGGGCAAGCGGUAUCCGGAUUUACUGGGUGUAAAGGGGGCGCAGACGGCGAUGCAAGCCAGGAGUGAAAGCCCGGGGCUCAACCCCGGGACUGCGCUUGGAACUGCGUGGAGGGAGUGCAGGAGUGGCAGGCGGAAUUCCUGGUGUAACGGUGAAAUGCGUAGAUAUCAGGAGGAACACCGGUGGCGAAGGCGGCCUGCUGGACUGCAACUGACGUUGAGGCCCGAAAGCGUGGGGAGCAAACAGGAUUAGAUACCCGAGUAGUC